rnacentral:rRNA from 1 species
GACGAACGCUGGCGGCGUGCUUAACACAUGCAAGUCGAACGGAAAGGCCCUGCUUUUGUGGGGUGCUCGAGUGGCGAACGGGUGAGUAACACGUGAGUAACCUGCCCUUGACUUUGGGAUAACUUCAGGAAACUGGGGCUAAUACCGGAUAGGAGCUCCUGCUGCAUGGUGGGGGUUGGAAAGUUUCGGCGGUUGGGGAUGGACUCGCGGCUUAUCAGCUUGUUGGUGGGGUAGUGGCUUACCAAGGCUUUGACGGGUAGCCGGCCUGAGAGGGUGACCGGCCACAUUGGGACUGAGAUACGGCCCAGACUCCUACGGGAGGCAGCAGUGGGGAAUAUUGCACAAUGGGCGGAAGCCUGAUGCAGCAACGCCGCGUGCGGGAUGACGGCCUUCGGGUUGUAACCCGCUUUCGCCUGUGACGAAGCGUGAGUGACGGUAAUGGGUAAAGAAGCACCGGCUAACAACGUG